AACUGAUUUAGCGUGGGCUUGGAGGAGGGCAGACACAGAGGGCUUUUUGUGUGUCCCUCGGGUGAUGUUAGCUGACUCAGAUUCUGUGGCCCCCAAGCAUCCCAUUGUUUGCAGAACCUUCUGGAAUGAAUGAGAACGGUUGGCCUCCUCCAUCUCUGUGCUGAUGGAGCCGAGAACUGCCACGUCGUGGUGUGGGGCUGGGGUAGGGCGUGGAGUGGGGCGGUGGGGGGAGUUGGCGUGGAACGGACACGCAGAUUCCGUCCAGAGGUUGAGAGGAGGCCCAGGGAGAAGAUUGUUGAAACUCAGCUUGCAACAGUUGUAACAUUCUCACCUGGGAAGAGGGCGGCUAAAAUGCCCACCCACAAGAAAUAGCGCUUGUGGGGAAGGCACGGCGGACCCACAGGAGACGGAGCGACACACCGGCCGCUCUGAGGUCGGCAGACCCCACCCAGGCUGUGGAACAGGAAG
rnacentral:lncRNA from 1 species